rnacentral:rRNA from 1 species
AGUGAACGCUGGCGGUAGGCCUAACACAUGCAAGUCGAACGGCAGCACAGUAAGAGCUUGCUCUUACGGGUGGCGAGUGGCGGACGGGUGAGGAAUACAUCGGAAUCUACUUUUUCGUGGGGGAUAACGUAGGGAAACUUACGCUAAUACCGCAUACGACCUACGGGUGAAAGCAGGGGAUCUUCGGACCUUGCGCGAUUGAAUGAGCCGAUGUCGGAUUAGCUAGUUGGCGGGGUAAAGGCCCACCAAGGCGACGACCCGUAGAUGGUCUGAGAGGAUGAUCAGCCACACUGGAACUGAGACACGGUCCAGACUCCUACGGGAGGCAGCAGUGGGGAAUAUUGGACAAUGGGCGAAAGCCUGAUCCAGCCAUACCGCGUGGGUGAAGAAGGCCUUCGGGUUGUAAAGCCCUUUUGUUGGGAAAGAAAAGCAGCAGGUUAAUACCCCGCUGUUCUGACGGUACCCAAAGAAUAAGCACCGGCUAACUUCGUG